rnacentral:rRNA from 1 species
CAGCCGCCGCGGGAAUACGAAGGGUGCAAGCGUUAAUCGGAAUUACUGGGCGUAAAGGGCUCGCAGGCGGUUUCUUAAGUCUGAUGUGAAAGUCCCCGGCUCAACCGGGGAGGGUCAUUGGAAACUGGGAAACUUGAGUGCAGAAGAGGAGAGUGGAAUUCCACGUGUAGCGGUGAAAUGCGUAGAGAUGUGGAGGAACACCAGUGGCGAAGGCGACUCUCUGGUCUGUAACUGACGCUGAGGAGCGAAAGCGUGGGGAGCGAACAGGAUUAGAUACCCCCGUAGUCCCUGUCUCUUAUAC